AAAGAAACUGUGCAACCCAGUUUAGUUUGAAAAAACUUAUUUACUGUCUCUUUUUUAAUUUUUUAAAG
rnacentral:tRNA from 1 species